rnacentral:rRNA from 1 species
UACGUAGGUCCCGAGCGUUGUCCGGAUUUAUUGGGCGUAAAGCGAGCGCAGGUGGUUUAUUAAGUCUGGUGUAAAAGGCAGUGGCUCAACCAUUGUAUGCAUUGGAAACUGGUUUUCUUGAGUGAAGUAGAGGUUGGCGGAAUUCCGAGUGUAGCGGUGAAAUGCGUAGAUAUUCGGAGGAACACCGGUGGCGAAGGCGGCCAACUGGGCUUUAACUGACGCUGAGGCUCGAAAGUGUGGGGAGCAAACAGG